rnacentral:misc_RNA from 1 species
AAGUCGUAACAAGGUUUCCGUAGGUGAACCUGCGGAAGGAUCAUUAAAAUAUACUUAUUACAUUGUUUUUGAAGCAAACUUACUAAUAUAUUAUUUUUCAAUUUCUUUAAAAAUCAAAACUUUCAACAACGGAUCUCUUGGUUCUC